AAAACUUUCAACAACGGAUCUCUUGGUUCCAGCAUCGAWGAAGAACGCAGCGAAAUGCGAUAAGUAAUGUGAAUUGCAGAAUUCAGUGAAUCAUCGAAUCUUUGAACGCACAWUGCGCCCCCUGGUAUUCCGGGGGGCAUGCCUGUUCGAGCGUCAW
rnacentral:rRNA from 1 species